rnacentral:rRNA from 1 species
AUUGAACGCUGGCGGCAGGCUUAACACAUGCAAGUCGAGCGGAGAUGAGGUGCUUGCACCUUAUCUUAGCGGCGGACGGGUGAGUAAUGCUUAGGAAUCUGCCUAUUAGUGGGGGACAACAUUCCGAAAGGAAUGCUAAUACCGCAUACGCCCUACGGGGAAAGCAGGGGAUCUUCGGACCUUGCGCUAAUAUAUGAGCCUAAGUCGGAUUAGCUAGUUGGUGGGGUAAAGGCCUACCAAGGCGACGAUCUGUAGCGGGUCUGAGAGGAUGAUCCGCCACACUGGGACUGAGACACGGCCCGGACUCCUACGGGAGGCAGCAGUGGGGAAUAUUGGACAAUGGGCGGAAGCCUGAUCCAGCCAUGCCGCGUGUGUGAAGAAGGCCUUUUGGUUGUAAAGCACUUUAAGCGAGGAGGAGGCUACCUGGACUAAUACUCUAGGAUAGUGGACGUUACUCGCAGAAUAAGCACCGGCUAACUCUGUGCCAGCCGCCGCAGUAAAAC